rnacentral:rRNA from 1 species
UAGGGAAUCUUCCACAAUGGACGCAAGUCUGAUGGAGCAACGCCGCGUGAGUGAAGAAGGUUUUCGGAUCGUAAAGCUCUGUUGUUGGUGAAGAAGGAUAGAGGCAGUAACUGGUCUUUAUUUGACGGUAAUCAACCAGAAAGUCACGGCUAACUACGUGCCAGCAGCCGCGGUAAUACGUAGGUGGCAAGCGUUGUCCGGAUUUAUUGGGCGUAAAGCGAGCGCAGGCGGAAUGAUAAGUCUGAUGUGAAAGCCCACGGCUCAACCGUGGAACUGCAUCGGAAACUGUCAUUCUUGAGUGCAGAAGAGUAGAGUGGAAUUCCAUGUGUAGCGGUGGAAUGCGUAGAUAUAUGGAAGAACACCAGUGGCGAAGACGGCUCUCUGGUCUGCAACUGACGCUGAGGCUCGAAAGCAUGGGUAGCGAACAGG